rnacentral:misc_RNA from 1 species
AAGUCGUAACAAGGUUUCCGUAGGUGAACCUGCGGAAGGAUCAUUCUAGUGUGUGGGGGGAGAGAUUGUGCCGUGGAGUGUGUGUGCAGUGUGUGUGCAGUGUGUGUGCAUUGUGUGUGCAUUGUGCACGUCUGCGGCCUUUCUAACGCUUGUUUUAUGUGACAGAUUGUGUGUGGUGUAGAUGGAUAAUGAACAACUUUUAACAAUGGAUCUCUUGGCUCUU